rfam:Elusimicrobia bacterium RIFOXYA12_FTLL_49_49 rifixya3_full_scaffold_241, whole genome shotgun sequence.
GCGGGAGUAGCACAAUGGUAGUGUUCCAGCCUUCCAAGCUGGCCACGCGGGUUCGAUUCCCGUCUCCCGCU